GGAAAAUGAAUUAAAGAGAGAGUGCAGAGAAAGAUGGAGAAAUGAAAGGAAGAGAGAGUGUGGAGAAAGAUGGAGAAAUGAAAGGAAGAGAUAGUGUGGAGAAAAAUUGAGAAAUGAAAAGAAGGGAGAGUGUGGAGAAAGAUGGAGAAGAGAAAGGAAGAGAGAGUGGAGAAAAGAAAGGAAGAGAGAGUGCAGAGAAAGAUG